rnacentral:rRNA from 1 species
UACGUAGGGGGCAAGCGUUGUCCGGAUUUAUUGGGCGUAAAGAGCGUGUAGGCGGCCAUACAGGUCCGUUGUGAAAACUCGAGGCUUAACCUCGAGACGUCGAUGGAAACCGUAUGGCUAGAGUCCGGAAGAGGAGAGUGGAAUUCCUGGUGUAGCGGUGAAAUGCGCAGAUAUCAGGAGGAACACCGGUGGCGAAGGCGGGUCUCUGGGCCGUAACUGACGCUGAGGAGCGAAAGCGUGGGGAGCGAACAGG